rnacentral:tRNA from 1 species
GCCUCAGUAGCUCAGCUGGACUAGAGCAUGCGCCUUCUAAGCGCAGGGUCGGGGGUUCGAGUCCCUUCUGGGGUGCCA